GUGAGGGCCUCUGGGUCCACCUCCCACCCGUGUUUAUUUUACCUUGUUGCUUCGGCGGGCCCGCCUUAACUGGCCGCCGGGGGGCUUACGCCCCCGGGCCCGCGCCCGCCGAAGACACCCUCGAACUCUGUCUGAAGAUUGAAGUCUGAGUGAAAAUAUAAAUUAUUUAAAACUUUCAACAACGGAUCUCUUGGUUCCGGCAUCGAUGAAGAACGCAGCGAAAUGCGAUACGUAAUGUGAAUUGCAAAUUCAGUGAAUCAUCGAGUCUUUGAACGCACAUUGCGCCCCCUGGUAUUCCGGGGGGCAUGCCUGUCCGAGCGUCAUUGCUGCCCUCAAGCCCGGCUUGUGUGUUGGGCCCCGUCCCCCGAUCUCCGGGGGACGGGCCCGAAAGGCAGCGGCGGCACCGCGUCCGGUCCUCGAGCGUAUGGGGCUUUGUCACCCGCUCUGUAGGCCCGGCCGGCGCUUGCCGAUCAACCCAAAUUUUUAUCCAGGUUGACCUCGGAUCAGGUAGGGAUACCCGCUGAACUUAAGCAUAUCAAUAAGCGGAGGGAAAAGAAA
rnacentral:rRNA from 1 species